rnacentral:lncRNA from 1 species
UUUUUUCAAAGGUUCGUUCAAGCACUUACUAAAUAUGCCGCGCCGAAGCCGCUGAUUCUCCUUAACGGAGUUUGACAGCUGGGCACGAACAUCUUUCAGGUCGACGCCCAGCUUGGUGUUGGCAUCUUGGAGAUCAUUCUUCUCCCGCCUCACCUUUGUCAGCACCUUCUCACCAGCCUUCAGCUGGCGUAGGAGUUGUUGCCUUUCCGGACUCAAUCCGGCGCCAUCUGUAAUUUCAUUUGUCAGAUUCGCACCCAUGCCGUGCUUCACAAAAUACUUAUCUUUCGAAGUGUAUAUUACCAGAGGAGGUCUCCUUGGGCUCCCCUGCCGCGGCUAGUGCGGCCUCAAGUUGGGCUUUGCAAUCUUCUAGCUCCUGGGAUAGUAGGGAAUUCUUUUCUGUAAGAACCUGCAUAACAAAUGAUCCUUAAAUCAGUUAUUCUAACUGUUUCAAGUCUCGGGGGCUACUGGUAUAUAUAUAUAUAAUUACCAAAAUUUUCUUACCCAUAUGUCUUUUACAUAUUGCUCUGUGGCUCUGGCUAGACCAUUUUGAGCGGCACGGAGGUACGCAUCUCUCGAAUUGAAGGCAUCUAAUGCCUCUUGGGAGAAACAAGCGUCGCAAAAAAUUGUCCAGCGACGCUUGUGGUUCAUGGCACUCUCCACCUCAGAGUUGGUGGCAGACAACCUGUCCACAUCCUCCGUCGGAGGAGCGUCCAGUGCGCGCCUUGUGUUCGCCUCCGCCUCCGGACCAGGCUUUGGAGCCUGGGUGGUGGAGGCAUGAUUGGCAGCCUCUCCGGAUAUAGUUUGGCGAGGUCUCUUUGUCCUGAAGAGAGCAUGAGUGUUGAUAUGCCUUGAAGGUAUAACACCUGGGAUAAGGGGGCGCGCCAUACCUUUGCGCUGAUGCCUCGGUCUGGACUGCACCUCUUUUCUACCCAUGGGGCCCUGCGGCCCCUCGUUGGCUUGUCACCGCAGGUUCGGCCUCCCGUCUCAAAAACCUCCCCUGCAAAGCUCGGUUGUAAUCGGGAACUGAAAACACGAGAGGGCGGACCCAUAUUCGGGGUAUUGGGACUUCGAUCUCAGUUACCUGGGAGGCCGGGAUUAGCCCUGGGUAAUCGAUCGUAAUGGCCACCAAGGCGUUGUCCUUGCUCAAUUGAUGGAACACUCCAUCAAUCAGCUCCACAGAUAAGUCCGGAUCCUCUUGAGAGGCUGGGUCGAGGGACCGUCCUGGGUCCUCGGGUUGUGGAGGAGGGCUGUUUAUUUCCUUAACAGCCUGGCGCAGUUCCUGCGUUGAAGUCAUUAGACUAAAUGUUUAACAAUGGGAAUAUAAAACGGAUGGGCAAGUAAAUGCCACCACUUACCCAUCUUGGGGGAUUGUACAUAGAAAAUCCACCCUGUGGGUUGACGCGGAGAAAUUCCUCCUCUUCUCCCUUGUACAAAGCAGACAAGGUCUUUGUUAGAGCCGCAGCCGAAUCCGGUCCCUUACGACCAUAGCGGGUGGCGUCGUCCUCCCCGUUGAAGUCCCACAUGGAGUGGCCUCUAUACUGUAGCGGCUGCACCCCUCGCAUGAUGCAUGCGGCCAUGACCCCGAUCAUGGUCAGUCCGGAAUGAGCUAACAAUCUUAUCCGGCCCAUCACGUAAAGGACGUCCUUGUCACUUUCCCUCCGAGGGCUCCGUGGACGCCAACUUAGGCGCUUCUUUAGUGGAGCACUGUCGAACUCAGGGAGGCCAAUCCGCACAGGAUCCGGCAGCGGGACUGAGGGAGUCCUGGAUUAGGGGGUGUCCGGAUGGCCGGACUAUACCUUCAGCCGGACUCCUGGACUAUGAAGAUACAUGAUUGAAGACUUUGUCCCGUGUCCGGAAGGGACUUUCCUUGGCGUGGAAGGCAAGCUUGGCGAUAUGGAUAUGUAGAUCUCCUACCAUUGUAACCGACUUUGUGUAACCCUAGCCCUCUCCGGUGUCUAUAUAAACCAGAGGGUUUUAGUCCGUAGGACAACAUACACAACAACAAUCAUACCAUAGGCUAGCUUCUAGGGUUUAGCCUCUUCGAUCUCGUGGUAGAUCUACUCUUGUGCUACCCAUAUCAUCAAUAUUAAUCAAGCAGGACGUAGGGUUUUACCUCCAUCGAGAGGGCCCGAACCUGGGUAAAACUUCGUGUUCCUUGCCUCCUGUUACCAUCCGACCUAGACGCACAGUUCGGGACCCCCCACCCGAGAUCCAUCGGUUUUGACACUGACAUUGGUGCUUUCAUUGAGAGUUCCUCUGUGUGGUCGCCGUCAGGCUUGAUGGCUCCUACGAUCAUCAUUGACGAUGCAGUCCAGGGUGAGACCUUCCUCCCCGGACAGAUCUUCGUCUUCGGUGGCUUCGCACUGCGGGCCAAUUCACUUGGCCAUCUGGAGCAGAUCAAAAGCUAUGCCCCUGGCCGUCAGGUCAGAUUUGGAAGCUUAAACUACACGGCUGACAUCUGCGGGGACUUGAUCUUCGAUGGAUUCGAGCCACUGCCGAGCGCGCCGCACUGUCACGACGAGCAUGAUCUAGCUCUGCCACCGAACAGUGCCCUGGAGGCCGCACCCGCAUCGGCUUCGACCCUUAAUUUGGAGCCAACUACGCCGAUCGAGGAUGGGUGGUUGGACGCCACCUCGGGGACUGCGAUCCCAACGGUGAUCGAGCCGAACACCAGCCCCGCACUCUGCGAGACUCGUGACUCCAAGGAGCCGGACUCCUCUCUGGACUCCAAACCCUUCGCGCCCCUGCCGAUCGAAUCCGAUUGGGCGCCGAUCAUGGAGUUUACUGCCGCGGACAUCUUUCAGCACUCACCUUUCGGCGAUAUUCUGAAGACACUGAAGUCUCUCUCUUUAUCAGGAGAGCCCUGGCCAGACUACGGUCAGCAAGGUUGGGAUUCGGACGAUGAAGAAAUUCAAAGCCCACCCACCACCCACUUUGUAGCCACUGUCGACGACUUAACCGACAUGCUCGACUUCGACUCUGAAGACAUCGACGGUAUGGACGCCGAUGAAGGAGACGAUGAAGAACCAGUGCCUAUCAGGCCCUGGAAAGCCACCUCGUCAUAUGACAUAUACAUGGUGGACACCCCAAAAGAAGGAGAUGGUGAUGGAACAACGGAGGAUGACCCCUCCAAGAAACAGCCUAAGCGUCAGUGUCAGCGGCGCCGCUCAAAAUCCCGCCAAAACAAAUACGGUGAUUCCAGCACGGGAGAUAAUAAUACUCUGGAAAGUGCCGAAGAAAACCCCCUCCAGCAAGAUUUAGCACAGGAGGAUGGAGAAACCAGCCCUCAUGAGAGAGCGGCAGACAGAGUGGUCGAGGACGAUAAUUAUAUGCCUCCCUCCGAAGACGAGGCAAGCCUCGAUGACGACGAAUUCGUCGUGCCAGAGGAUCCCGUCGAGCAAGAGCAUUUUCAACGCAGGCUUAUGGCCACGGCAAGAAGCCUCAAGAAAAAAUAGCAACAGCUUAGAGCUGACCAAGAUUUGCUAGUCGAUGGAUGGAGUGAAGUCCUUGCGGCCGAAGAGCAUAAACUCGAACGCCCCUCCAAGAGCUACCCAAAGCGCAGGUUGCUACCCCAAUUAGAGGAGGAAGCACUUGAUGCGGCCGACCGGCCACCUCAUGGCCAUGACAGAGAGGCCUCUCGGCCCUCCACUCAAGCCGCACCCCGUACCAAGGCACGGGAACAUGCGCCGGACUUACGAGAUAUGUUGGAGGACAAGGCAAGGCAAACAAGAUCGAUCUACGGAUCGCAUGGGCGCCCCACGGCUCGAGACGGUAACCGUCACGCUAGCCACAAAUUCGGCAGGGCCGAGCACAGUAGACAAAGCUCAUUGGAGCUACUUCGUAAUAUAGCCCAGUACAGAGGCGCCGCACACCCACUAUGCUUCACAGACGAAAUAAUGGAUCAUCAAAUCCCCAAGGGUUUCAAACCCGUAAACAUCGAAUCAUAUGAUGGCACAAUAGAUCCUGCGAUAUGGAUCGAGGAUUAUCUCCAUCAUAUCCACAUGGCCUGCGGCGAUGAUUUCCACGCCAUCAAAUACCUCCCACUCAAGCUUAAAGGACCAGCUCGGCAUUGGCUUAACAGCUUGCCAACAGGAUCAAUCAGUUGUUGGGAGGACCUCGAAGCCGCAUUCCUCAACAAUUUCCAAGGCACUUAUGUGUGACCCCCAGACGCCAAUGACCUAAGUCACGUAAUUCAGCAGCCAGAGGAAUCGGCCAGGCAAUUCUGGACACGGUUCCUAACAAAGAAAAAUCAAAUAGUCGACUGUCCGGACGCAGAGGCCCUAGCAGCCUUCAAACACAAUAUCCGUGACGAGUGGCUUGCACGGCGCCUUGGACAGGAAAUGCCAAAGUCUAUGGCAGCACUCACGACACUCAUGACCCGCUUUUGCGCGGGAGAAGACAGCUGGCUUGCUCGUAGCAACAAUAUGACCAAGAAUCCUGGUAAUUCGGAUACCAGGGACAGUAGUGGCAGGCCGCGUCGCAACAAGCAGAAGCGCCGCAUUAACGGCGACAAUACUGAGGAUACGAUAGUUAAUGCCGGAUUCAGGGGCUCUAAAUCCGGUCAGCGGAAAAAGCCAUUCAAAAGGAAUCCUAGGGGCCCGUCCAGUUUGGACCGAAUACUCGACCGCUUAUGCCAGAUACAUGGCACCCCCGAAAAGCCGGCCAAUCACACCAACAUGGAUUGUUGGGUGUUCAAGCAAGCAGGCAAGUUAAAUGCCGAAAAUGAAGACAAGGGGCUGCAUAGCAAUGACGACCAGGAGCCCCGGCCGCCGAACAACAGCGGACAUAAGGGUUUUCCCCCACAAGUGCGGACGGUGAACAUGAUAUACGCAACCCACGUCCCCAAAAGGGAGUGGAAGCGCGCGUUAAGGGACGUAUACGCGGUAGAGCCAGUCGCCCCAAAGUUCAACCCAUGGUCCUCCUGCCCGAUCACCUUUGAUCGAAGGGACCAUCCCACUAGCAUCCAUCAUGGCGGAUUCACCGCAUUGGUUCUAGACCCAAUUAUUGACGGAUUUCAUCUCACUAGAGUCCUUAUGGACGGCGGCAGCAGCCUGAACCUGCUUUACCAGGAUACAGUGCGGAAAAUGGGCAUAGAUCCCUCGAGGAUUAAGCCCACCAAAACGACCUUUAAAGGCGUAAUACCAGGUGUAGAGGCCAACUGUACAGGCUCAGUCACACUUGAAGUGGUCUUCGGAUCUCCGGAUAAUUUCCGAAGCGAGGAGUUAAUCUUCGACAUAGUCCCAUUCCGCAGUGGCUAUCAUGCACUGCUCGGGCGAACCGCAUUCACCAAGUUCAAUGCGGUACCGCACUACGCAUACCUUAAGCUCAAAAUGCCAGGCCCUCGAGGAGUAAUUACGGUCAAUGGAAACACCAAACGCUCCCUCCGAACGGAGGAACACACGGCGGCCCUUGAAGCAGAAGUACAAAGCAGCCUCUUGAGGCAGUUCUCCAGUCCGGCCAUUAAACGACCGGACACCGUCAAGCGUGCCCGGAGUAACCUACAACAAGACCGCCUGGCACGACCCGAGCAGGCGUAGCAAUGCGGCCCCAACCCCAGCCCUCGCAAAAAUGCGAUACCAUUACUUCGCGUACAUAACUACGCUCUAGAAAUAGCAUGGGUACAGGGGGAGGGGCACCAUCACGGCACGCCCGAAACACGGCUUAAACCGCACCAGGGGCUGCCGAUUUUUUAAUUUUCUCUUACUUUCAGGACUCCACUCUUCGGAAGGCCUGUUCGGCAGUUCAAUUGUUGCACAAACGAUGCAAGAACCAGGGAAGCAGACAAGCCACACCGCAUUACGGAACUCCCAGGUGGUCUCUAUCACGAGCAGUAUACCUGUUUCGCAUACUAUUCCGCAGCUUGCCCCUGGAACGGACAUGUUACAUAGUCCAACCUUUUGUUUAUCACAUUAUUUGUAUUGUUCUGCUUUGAUCGCAGCCCUCUUUAAUAAACAAUGCAUAUCUUUUGUCUAUUUUUGCAUUACUCUUUUUUAAUAUAUGUUCCUUAACGACAUGUUGCAUCCGUACACUUUGGUACGACCAAAAUACUCCAGGGGCUUUAGUACCCCUCAAUAUGGUGUGAGAAGUCUGAACACUUUAACAAGUGCGGCACCCCGAACUUAUAGCAUUAUAUGCAUCGGCUCUGAAUCAUGUCUUGGGUCAAUAGUUGGGUUUGCCCGGCUCCUAUGUUUUGUUGCCUUACGUUCCGCUAUAUCGGCUAAGGUAGCACUAGGAGAACCACUGUGAUUGUGCCCCAGUUGAGCUGGGUCGAGCACCUCAGUGGAGAAAGCUAAAACUGACUGUCAUGACGAAGCGAGAGUUGGUCGCUGUUUGAGAGGUUUUUCGAGUCCCUAAAGACUUAUGUCGCUUAGAGCGAGGAGCCGGCUCUAUCCAGCCAAGGCGUGGAUAGCGCCCCGAACUCGGUCUUCCGAAUACCAGGGGCUUCGCCAAAAUUUAAAAUUAUAGAAUUCUAUGGCUAAGUGAGAGUGUUCACGCAUUAUAGUCCAAUUGCCUUGUUCGUUGGGCUGAGCACCUCCCUCGAAGGACCCAAACAUGGGAAAAAGAGCGCUCAGGUUUAUCCCCGAACACCCCAGCACUAGCGGCACGGGGGCAGAAGUCGACGACUUGCCAUCUCUCAGAAUUGAUAAACAGCCGCACAGAAGGUAAUAUUUUAAAUUCCAACAGCAUUGCUUAGCGCAUAUGAACAAGUUUUUAGCACACAGGACAAAACGAGCAAGUUUCACUCAAAAAUUACAUCCCUAGAACAUUCAUCCGCCAUAAGGCAGGCACCCUUCAGAACAUCCUUAUAAUAAUUCUCAGGCUUGCAAUGCUCUUUCCCCGGCAGUGGCCCGUCCUUCACAAGCUUCUCAGCAUCCAGUUUGCCCCAGUGCACCUUAGCACGGGCAAGGGCCCUACGGGCACCUUCAAUGCAGACGGAGCGCUUGAUGACUUCGAGCCUUGGACAGGCCUCCACCAGCCGCCGCACCAGCCCGAAUAGCUCCCAGGCAAAGCCCCUCCAGGCCACAGUCGAACUAUGAGGCACUUCAUGGACUGUUCGGCCGCCUUGUGGAGCUCGACCAGUUGCUUCAGCUGGUCGCUCAGGGGCACGGGGUGUCCGGCCUCAGCAUACUGAGACAAGAACACCUUCUCUGUCGAGCUGCCCUCCUCGGCUCGAUAGAAUGCGGCGGCAUCGGACACACUCCGGGGAAGAUCUGCGAACGCUCCUGGAGAGCUCCGGAUUCGGGUAAGUAACAAGUAACUCACGUUUAUGUGUUUGCUUUGCAUAAAGAAUGCCUUACCCGCAGCUAUCUUCUUCACCUCAUCCAACUCCUGGAGGGUCUCCUGGGAUUCGGCCUUGGCAGACUUGACAUUUUCAAUAGCCACCGCGAGCUCGGACACUCGCGUCUUUGAGUCUAGCUCCAAACUCUCAUGUUUUUCCAUGAGAGCCUGGAGCUCUUGCCGUACCUUGCCAACCUUGGCCUCAUACUUCUCCCGCUCGGUGCGCUCUGUGGCCGCCCUCUUCUCGGCCUCGACCAGCGCUUGCUUAAGGGUCGCCACCUCAGACGUGGCCCCUACAAUAGCCACGAUUAUCCUGUCAUUUUUUGCAAUUGCACCUUUUUACAUGUAUUUAAACAAGGUAUUUCUUACCUUCAUUGUCCUCGAUCUGCUUCUUGGCACGCCCGAGCUCUUGCUCGGACCGCUCGAGGUUCUGCUUUAGCGUGUCCACUUCCGCAGUCACUGCGGCGGACGCAAGCAGAGAAGCCUGCAUACGCAUAUUGACUCCUUUUUGUUAGACUCCUGCGAAUUUUAUUUGAUCCUCUAUUCGGAUUUUCUUCCCGAACGCCAAACAGAGGAUCAGGGGCUACUGUCUAUGCGGUAAUAUUAUUUACACAUUCUUUACUUACCUCAAAGCCUGUUAAAAGGCUAGUACAAGCUUCAGUCAGUUCGCUCUUGGCGGACUGAACCUUCUGGACCACCGCACUCAUAAGGGUGCGGUGCUCCUCGUCGAUGGAGGCGCCUUGGAGCGCCUCCAACAGAUUGUCCGGCGCCUUCGGUUGGACGGGGGUCACCGGCACGAUGGGCUUGAUCCUCUUGGAAGGAGGUCCCCCACCGGACUCUGGAACCUUUGAAGGUUCCGGAGAGGUGUCCGGCCUAGAGCCGGGCUUGGAGCCCUGGGGGGUUUCAUCCCCUUUACUCCUGGAGUCCGGGAGGUCGCCUUGCGGCGCCUCCAGGACCACCUCCUCCCGGCUUGGAACCUGUUGGGACAACACUUCGGUGUCGUCGUAGGGCGGGGGAGGAAGCCGUCGGAAGCGAGUUCACAUCCGAUGAGUCCAGUGAGCCACUCGACGACUCGUCGAGCCGGUCUUUGGGUGGGCUGCAUAAACAUAUUCGACAUAGGGGAAAGUUGUGCAAUAAACGAAUACUAUGAAUUACUCUGGUAUCCGGAUACUUACGAUUUUGCCAGUGGCUUGGCCCUGGGCGGCCACUCCUCUCCGCCGUCGUCUGCGUCGGUGGAAUAGUCCGGAGGAAGGGUUUUCCCCUUCUUGGACCCUCCGGCCUCCCCAGAGAGGGCGGCCUUCCUUUUCUUCUCUCCUCCCGCUGGAGGGGGAGAGGUCUCUUCUUCUUCCUCCUCGUCUUCACGGGAGGAAUGCGCCUCGGAACCAUCGGAUGAUGGAUCCGACACCUCCUGGCGCCGGGCGCUCUUUCGAGUCCCCGUGGCCUUUUUCGCGGCCUUCUUAUCCGGCACCACAUAGGGUGCCGGAACCAGCAGCUUCGCCAAGCGAGCGUCCGCUGGGCCUUCGGGCAAAGGAGCUGGAUGGUUGAUCUGUCCGGAUGUCACCUGUCAAUCCUGUCAAAGGUAAGGGAGCUUAGAUCCCGCAUGGAGUCAAACUAUGAACAAUUGAUACCCUGUAAAAGGAAAAAACAGCUUACCGCAUGAGCGUGACACUGCGUACUGAAUCCGCGAUCCUCGGUAGCGGAUGCGGGGGCCUCGGCGCCCUUGAAAAUCACCUUCCAGGCAUCUUCGUACAUCGUGUCGAAGAGCCUGCUCAGAGUUUGGUGCCGCACCGGGUCGAACUCCCACAGGUUGAAAGCCCGUUGUUGACACGGGAGGAUCAGGCGGGUGAGCAUAACCUGGACUACAUUGACAAGUUUGAACUUCUUGUCCACCAGGGUUUGGAGGCUUGGAGUCCGUUCAGCUCUCCUUUUUUACCCCACGACAGGCCCGUCUCCUUCCAGGAGGUGAGCCGCGUAGGGGGUCCGGAUCGAAACUCGGGGGCUGCGACCCAUUCGGGGUCGCGCGGCUCGGUGAUGUAAAACCACCCCGAUUGCCACCCCUUCAGGGUCUCCACAAAGGAGCCCUCGAGCCAUAAGACGUUGGCCGUCUUGCCCACCAUGGCGCCUCCGCACUCCGCCUGGUUGCCGCUCAAUACCUUCGGCUUGACAUUGAAAGUCUUGAGCCAUAGGCCGAAAUGGGGGCAGAUGCAGAGGAAAGCCUCGCACACGACGAUAAACGCCGAGAUGUUGAGGACAAAGUUCAGGGCCAGAUCAUGGAAAUCCAGGCCAUAGUAGAACAUGAGCCCCCGGACAAAUGGGUGAAGAGGGAAGCCCAGUCCGCGGAGGAAAUGGGGGAGGAACACCACCCUCUCAUGGGGCCUAGGGGUGGGGAUGAGCUGCCCCUUUUCAGGAAGCCGGUACGCAAUGUCGUUAGACAAGUAUCCGGCCUUCCUCAGUUUUUUGAUGUGUCCCUCCGUGAUGGAGGAGACCAUCCACUUGCCUCCCGCUCCGGACAUGGCUGGAGAAGGUUGAGGUGGGGAGUGCGGACUUGGGCGCUGGAGCUCGAGUGCGCGAGAAUGGAUAAGCAAGGGACGAAGAAGGCGUAGGUGAAAAGGUGGAUCCUUAUCCCCUUAUAUGGGUGGACGCAACUACGUGUCCCCACCCGCCUGGUAAAACUCGCUUAUCUCCAAGCGCCGUAAUCAAUGGCGGGGUUGGGUUACCCACGCCCGUAUUGAUGAGAAUCCCGGAAUAAGGGGACACGAUCCCUGCUUUAACAAGACGUGCCAAGGAAACCGCCUCGCAUGACGCGCUGAGGUGGGAUAAUGAAACGACUCGGAUAAAGGCUUGGUCGUGGUGUGUCACACUACGGAAUGCGUCAGCAGAUUAGAUUUGUGUAAAUAUUAUUCUCUCUAUGACAAUAUGUGGAAAUUAUUUUGCAGGGCCGGACACUAUCUUUGUGUUCAAAAUCUUCUAUGAAGUACUUGGAGGAGGAACCCGCCUUGCAAUGCCGAAGACAAUCUGCGCGCCGGACUCGUCGUCAUUGAAGCCUAGUUCAGGGGCUACUGAGCGAGUCCUGGAUUAGGGGGUGUCCGGAUGGCCGGACUAUACCUUCAGCCGGACUCCUGGACUAUGAAGAUACAAGAUUGAAGACUUCGUCCCGUGUCCGGAAGGGACUUUCCUUGGCGUGGAAGGCAAGCUUGGCGAUACGGAUAUGUAGAUCUCCUACCAUUGUAACCGACUUUGUGUAACCCUAGCCCUCUCCGGUGUCUAUAUAAACCGGAGGGUUUUAGUCCGUAGGACAACAUACACAACAACAAUCAUACCAUAGGCUAGCUUCUAGGGUUUAGCCUCUUCGAUCUCGUGGUAGAUCUACUCUUGUGCUACCCAUAUCAUCAAUAUUAAUCAAGCAGGACGUAGGGUUUUACCUCCAUCGAGAGGGCCCGAACCUGGGUAAAACUUCGUGUUCCUUGACUCCUGUUACCAUCCAGCCUAGACGCACAGUUCGGGACCCCCUACCCGAGAUCUGCCGGUUUUGACACCGACAGGGACGUCCUCUAUGUAAAACCAUUUCGAAGGCCAGUCCUCGGACGCCUUCUUUGGGGUUUCGGAUAGAUAUCCGGUUCCGGCGAUGCGCCACACUUCGGCUCCGCCCACUUGAUAUAUUGACCCCUUCUGAGAACGGGGCACAAGGCAGAAUAACUCUUUCCACAGCCCGAAAUGAGCCUCAACACCCAAAAACAGCUCGCAGAGGGCUACGAAGCCCGUGAUAUGCAAUACGGAGGCAGGCGUAAGAUUGUGUAGCUGGAGGCCAUAGAACUCCAGGAGCCCCCGGAGAAACGGAUGGAUUGGAUAUCCGAGCCCUCUUAUUAAAUAAGGGACAAGGCAUACCUGCUCUCCUUUGGAGGGAUUAGGGGCACUCUCCGCUUGCUCUCCACAAUUAUAGAUGGCAAGACCAGCUCGAAUCGGGACCAUAUAGGCCGGGGGGAGAAAUCCCUUGGUCUGGAGCGUCACUAGCUCGCUAUGCGGGAUGGAGCAUCUCUCCCAAUAUCCAGGCUGAGGGCUGGAAAUGCAAAAGGAGGAGUUGCGACGGCUGGCCAUGGUGGUAUGGACCUUUGUCGGAUGCGCUCUGAUGAACACUCGCGAAGGGGAGAAGGUGUGGUUUGGAUCUAAAUCCUCGUCCCCUUAAAUGGGCGGCUCAUUUAUGCGGCUAGGGGUGUGGAUGUAAAAACACUCAGACUUUUCAUAUUCGUUUGACACGUGGGAGACGGCUAUUAUUGGGCGUAGGAGCCAAGGAGCGCAACAUUCACAAGAAACCAGACUUUAUUCAACAUGUACACGGAAUUUGGAGGAGAACCCGCCUUGCAAUGCCGAAGACAAUCUGCACGCCAGAGUCAUCGUCAUUGAAGCCUGGUUCGGGGGCUACUGAGGGAGUCCUCGAUUAGGGGGUGUCCGGAUGGCCGGACUAUACCUUCAGCCGGACUCCUGGACUAUGAAGAUACAAGAUUGAAGACUUUGUCCCAUGUCCGGGAGGGACUUUCCUUGGCGUGGAAGGCAAGCUUGGCGAUAUGGAUAUGUGGAUCUCCUACCAUUGUAACCGACUUUGUGUAACCCUAACCCUCUUCGGUGUCUAUAUAAACCGGAGGGUUUUUAGUCCGUAGGACAACAUACAGAACAACAAUCAUACCAUAGGCUAGCUUCUAGGGUUUAGCCUCUCCGAUCUCGUGGUAGAUCUACUCUUGUACUACCCAUAUCAUCAAUAUUAAUCAAGCAGGACGUAGGGUUUUACCUCCAUCAAGAGGGCCCGAACCUGGGUAAAACUUCGUGUCCCUUGCCUCCUGUUACCAUCCGGCCUAGACGCACAGUUCGGGACCCCCUACCCGAGAUCCGCCGGUUUUGACACCGAUAGAGACCAUCUUCAUCCUACGCCUCCCACGGAUUCAUAAACCUUAGGUAAUCCACUUGAGGGAAAUUUGCUACUGUCCUACAAACCUCUGCACUUGGAGGCCCAACAACAUCUACAAGAAGAAGGUUGUGUAGUAGACAUCACCCCUCUACCAACCGUGUCGCCGGCCCCCGUGCAUUUGGCUGCAUCCGUCGCGCCCGUGCGCGCCCCUCCACCCACUGCGGCACUGGUCCCCGUGCGUUUGGCUGCACCCGCUGCGCCCGUGCCCCCCCCCCCCUCAGCGGCAUGGGACACUACCAUCGGCCGCUACCUCUCGGCAGCGCCAGUUGCCGUCCUCACGCGCUCCGCCCUUCGAUCACGCGACGACAUCAUGUUUGAUUUACAAGUGAAGAACAUUUUGUGCUGCCUUGAAGACUUCAACAAUGGCGUCCCAGAAGACGACAACGACGGCGCGGCACGCCUCCUCCGCCGCCGCCAGAAAUAGUUUUUUUGGGGUUUAAUACUGUAUCUCGAAUUCUCGAUCCUAUGAAUAUAAAUUAGCAGUGUGACUGAAUGAAAGAUAUGGUUUGAAUGAACUUGCGUUUUUCUCUCUUAAUGUACAGACUUAUCAAACAAUUUUCUUUUGAAAAAAAUGUCAACGAUUUUUUGAAUAUAAAACACUCAUCGCAAACGUUUUAGUUAGAACACCUGUAUGCAAACCGACAGCUUCCCCAGGAAGCCAAGGGAAAAUGCGUCGAGCAGGAUUCUGCAUCUCUUCAACACAAAUGGUUGUUUUGCAUGACCCGUGUGCAACCACGUACAAACAAUUGGGUAAGAUUUGGAUAUCUGUCAUUUUGAGUAUGUUGCCAUUUCUCAAACUGGAAAGAUUGACAUUUGUUUAUCUAGUAACAUUGCCAUUUGUCAACCUUGUAACACUGCGAUUUGUCAAAAUAUGCAGCUACAAAUCACUAGCACUAUCUAAUUUUUGCAACUAAAAUCACUAGCACUAUUCAUAUGGACACCACUAGCAGGCGUGAGUUAAUGGACACACAUGAAAAUGUACCAUUGAUUACAUACAACAAGUCAUCAACCCACAACGACAAUGAGGAUACACGUUGGAUUAUAGAUCAUUUCCAACAAAACAUUCUAGUAAAGUUUUUCUCACACAACAAAUAACAAUGUGAUAAAUUGAACUUCAGCUCAACCACUCGUUGGCAUUGGAAAAGCUUGCUUUGAACCAUAAGUGAUUCUCUAGGAAGGGCCAGCUACUGUCAAUCUCGAGAACAAUGUAGGACUGAUCAUCCAGGCUGAAGGGGCCUAUUUCAAUACCCAUAUUGGGAUGGUAGGGAAGCAUAGUAAUGUCCGAGGUAUAGAUACAGUUGCUUCUCAUAAAUGGUAGUAAUGUUGUGUCAACAGCAGCUGGAUCGCCUUCCACCAUCAUUGGAUAGUUUUGUCCAAGGAAGAGCGAGUUUCCACCACGACUUUCAAUACUAAACCAGGGAGAAGGGUGCUAGUACACCAGUAUCCAUCAUGAAUACCCUGCAACGGACGUUCGAAUAGGUCUAGAGAGUGCGACCAUAUGAGACAACACCUGCUUCCUUAGUAACAUCAGUAGUGCCCCGUAUACAGACAACAAGAGGUGAUCCAUCGGAAUAAGUUGUCAAGUGCCACUGAGUAUAUGGGUCCUUCUCGUCCUCAUGCUCGUGAAUAAAAUUUUCAAGUAUAGGUGGUGGAAUGUUCACAGGACCUUGGAAACACAAGAAGGUUAAUUAGUAAAGGGAAACUAGCUAACCCGCAUGCAUGUGGAUGAAACAAUUAUAAUUACGGUGGAAGAUAAACAUACCAAAAUCAUGAGGACUCCAUGCAAAAACAGUGCCACGAGUGGUGGCAGAAAACACAAGACCCUCAUAUUGAAUUGCAUCACAGUACUCAUCUGUGUAUAGAAACUCAUUUUUGAGCAAUAUCCAUUGAGUCGAACCAUGAAGGACGGCAACAAGCUUGUCGAAGAUAGCGACAACAUAAGCAUUCCUAUAACCCCAAGAGCGGUAGGGAACUCGACAAAUUGCUAUCUUCCGUAGACAAUAGUCAGCAUGAUCAUAUUUGAACUCAUGUAGAAUACCGAUGUACUCAACCUCUGGGCAGUCGUCUGAGAUUUUUCGAAGUGGAACCUGGUGACGAGUGUAGACAUUCACAAGUUCCCACUCGCAGUUGUACCCAAUAUAAACAACCCAAUCUCCAUUUGCACCUGCCCAAGCCUUGCCCUCAAGCGAUGGCAUCUUAACAUCAUACGUAUCAUUAUCAAGCGGCAUCAACUUACACAAGGAGAGGCUUCCCUCGUCCCCGUGCCAGUCAGCAGGGUCACGGCGAAGAAGAUAGGGGAGAUCAAACCACUCCUGAACCCUUGGUUUCCUUGUAAUGAUGUUAUUAGUUGAGUCGAGAAUGGUCUUGAACAAACCUGCCAUGCUAGCCGAGGUGAUGACGUCGCACCGAGCAACGAGUUCCUCCACCGCGUCAUCAUUCAGAUCAGGGCAAGAAUAACGGGGUCGUUUCCGGCUUGUUCCCUCCAUGGAGAAGACGAUCAAACAAUGGCAGAAGGAAGGGUGAAGGCAAAUGGAGGAGGGAGGUAGAGCUAGCUUGCGGCAGCAGUUCCAAAUCGAGAGGGAAAGGCGAAGAGUCGGUGGAUGGUUGCCAUGGUACAAGAAGUGGCGCCUGGGGAGCGAACGGUUGCCACAGAGGUCACACACUGACGACCAGGGCCGAGUGAACCGCAUGCAAUUCCAUCGCACAACACACACGUCUUGUUAAGUUGAACCGUUUUUGUACUCUUGUGUCAAUGCAAAUAGUUCAUCCGAGUGAACCGCAUGCUGCAUAUCACACACACCUUGAUCCGGCUGACCGUUUCUUUUGUGUUGCCUAAUCACAAAUAGUUCAUCCGAGUGAACCGUAUGUUGUAUAUCGCACACACCUUCAUGUGGCUGCCCGUUUCUUUUGUGUUGCCUAAUCACAAACAGUUCAUCCGAGUGAACCGUAUGCUGUGUAUUGCACACGCCCUCAUCUGGCUGCCCAUUUCUUUUGUUCCUCCUCAUCACAAACAGUUAAUUGAGCUGAACCGUAUGACCUUCAUCGCACACGCAACUAAAAUCUGAACCGUGUUUGAUGCAUCCGUCAUCGCAAAUGUUUUAUACAUUUUUGACGGUUUUCAUAUAGCACCGUUUGCGAUUAUGGCAUCCCACACAGUUUCUCGAAGGGUCUCUGAUUGUAGUAUCGCGUUAUCAGCAUCCUGUAGUAGUGAGUUGCAUAAUCUCAUAGUCAUAGGAACAUGUAUAAGUUUUUUUUGAAUAUGUACUGCAAGGCAACAGCCUCACAGCUCUUUAUUGAAAGUAACAAAGUUAAAAAGUCCUGUUACAAGUCAAUUACAAGGAAGGAAAAGAAGAAGGCAGAAAUACUUACAACCCAAGCAGGGUAAAACACACUAACUAAGGGAGGUUAGAGAUCCAAGUUAGAAGGCUAUCCUUGUAUUUACAUUUUAUCCUAUGAGAAAGUAAAGUUAUGUCAUGGAUAAAAUUGUGCCUCCAGGCUCUGAAAGAGGGUCUCUCACUCCUCAAAACCUUGCCAUUCCUCAAGAUCCAAAUAUUCCAAGCUGCUGUAAAGACCACUUUAGUGAAGAAAAUAUGCCCAAAAUCCUUCCUAGCAUUUACAGCCAGGUUGUAGGUUGUCAUCCCAGGCUGAGGAUCCCAGUGAAUUUGCAAGUAAUUCCAGACUCUAACACUAAAAUUACAAGAGAAGAACAAAUGUGCAAUAUCCUCAUGGAUGAGAUAUGGGCAUAGAACACAAGAAUGAUCCUCCACAUGCUAAUGCCUCCUCUGUAGCAUGUCUGUGGUGUUUAAACGAUCCCUCAGCAAAAGCCAUCCAAACAUUUUGAUUUUCAAGGUGCAUGAAGAUUUCCAAAUCCAUUUGAAAAUUGGAUCUACAACAAUAUCUUGAUGCUCAUGCACAUAAAAAGAUUUAGGUCUGAAGAAGCCUUUAUGAAAAGGCCAUAUCCAUGUGUCAUGAUCUGCGGAGCAAGUAUAAGCAUUUAUCAAUUGUUGGAGGCAUUCAAGUUCACCAAAAGCCUGUGUAGACAGGGGUAGAUGCAUAUUUGACAAAAACUCUUGGGAAAGCACAUCAGACACUGAAGGUUGUUCAUCAAUAACAAAUGAGAAGAGCCUGGGAAAUUUUUCAAUGAGGGAAGAACCCUUAAGCUCAACCACCCAUCUGUCAGUCCAAAAGAGAAUAGACCUACCAUCCCCCAACAUUGGAGCAGCCAGUUGACAAUAUUUAUGUGCCAAUUUAAACACAUCACGCCACCAAAAGGACCCACAGAGGCUGGUGGUAUGAGGGACAUAGUUAUCAUAGUAGGCAUUCCAGAUGAGACCAACCCAGGGGAUGUCAUGAUGAUUAUAAAACUUGUGCAAGAACUUCAUAAGUAAGGCCUCAUUCUGCACCCUGAGAUUGAGCACACCAAGACCCCCUUUAUUUUUUGGUAGGCAUACCAAGUCCCAAGUAGCCAGAGAUUGUCUUGGGGUAUCAGAGUUCCCUCUCCAUAGGCAUUGUCUCUGAAUCCUUUCAAUUUGUUUCAGAAUUCCAGGUGGAAUGACAAGUGUGUAGAGGAAAUAUAUGGGCAUUGAAGUUAAAACAGACUGGAGCAACUGUAAUCUACUUCCUUGGUUCAGAAAACAAGAAGUGGCAGACAAUCUCCUUUCAAUCCUAUGCACAAGAGGCAUGAGAUCUUGAAUUGAGGGCCUGGUAGUCCCCAUGGGCAGACCCAAAUAAGUAAAAGGCAUGACUCCCACAUUGCAUCCUAGAAUUGAGGCCAACCUGCUAGCUUCAUCACCUGACAUGUUCAUAGGCACCAUAAGGGAUUUUGCAAAAUUCACAGAUAACCCUGUUGUAGCAGCAAAAACAUCAAGCAUGUCUUUAAGAGCAAGCAGCUGAUGAUCAAUAGCAGGCAACACAAUUAGUGUAUCAUCAGCAUACUAUACUAUGGGAAAAUCCUGGCUGUGAGAAGGGAUUGGGAGAGUCAAAAAUCCUUUACUGCACAUAUCAUUCACUAUAGACUAAAGCAGGUCAGCAGCAAGGACAAAAAGCAGAGGUGACAUUGGGUCUCCUUGUCUAACUCCCCUCUUACAUUUAAAGUGGUGGUCAGGUACACCAUUAAGAAGCACAGAAGAUGAACCAUAUGAUAGAAUAGAUUACAUCCAAGAUAUCCAUUUGUCAUUAAAACCCUUGUAUCUUAAAAUUCUAAGAAUGGCAUCAUGCUCAAUAGUAUCAAAGGCCUUAGUAAAAUCCAAUUUCAGCAAGACAAUUGGUCUUUUUGAGUUUUACAUUGGUGAAUGUACUCAAAACACCAAGCUAGACAAUCCUGAAUAGACCUGGAUUUAAUAAAUCCAUAUUGGUUUUUACGAAUACAGGAAAGAAUUACUUUCUGCAGCCUGUUUGCCAGAAGUUUAGUGAGAAAUUUCAAACAGGUAUUUGUCAAAGAGAUUGGUCUGUAGUCAUUCAAACCCUCAGGUGAUAGCUUUUUUGGGAUCAAGGUUAUGAGAGAAUUGUUGAUACACUCCAGAUCAAGAUGUCCUUCAGAAAUCUCUUUGACCAAUUGAUGAAAAUCAUCCUUAAUUAUGCGCCAACACUUCUUAAGAAAGAGGCCAGUGAAACCAUCUGGCCUAGGAGCUAAGUUAUGGAGAAAGCAAUAGCAAUAAACUAAACGAUCAUAGUGCUAAGCUAACAGAUGGGUCAUGUCAAUCACAUCAUUCUCUAAUGAUGUGAUCCCGUUUAUCAAAUGACAACUCAUGUCUAUGGUUAGGAAACUUAACCAUCUUUGAUUAACGAGCUAGUCAAGUAGAGGCAUACUAGUGACACUCUGUUUGUCUAUGUAUUCACACAUGUACUAAGUUUCCGGUUAAUACAAUUCUAGCAUGAAUAAUAAACAUUUAUAAUGAUAUAAGGAAAUAUAAAUAACAACUUUAUUAUUGCCUCUAAGGCAUAUUUCCUUCAUAAAUAACACCGAAUAAUGCACCACACGUAUGAUAUAAUUUCAUUACAUGACUAUUAACUUUUGUACUUGCAUAGGGAAUCACAAACAUUAACACCAAUAUUAUUACUAAAGCAUGAUUACUCAUAAACAUAACUCACAUAUCACAUCAUCAUAUCUCAAAACUAUUACUAACAAUCAAGUUUAUUUUGUCUAAUGAUCUUCACGAAAGUUUUUAUUAUAUCCUUAUUGGAUAUCUAUCACUUUGGGACUAAUUUUCAUGUGUUGUUUUUCGUAAGCUCAAACAAAUAUAAGUGAAGAUCAUGAGCAUAAUAUUUAUUUCUCUCAAAAUAAUUUAAGUGAAUCAAGAGAAAAUUUCUUAAAAAUACUAAGCAUACCGUGCUCAAAAAGAUAUAAGUGAAGCACUAGAGCAAGUCCAUUGCUCAUAAAAAUUUAAGUGAAGCAUAGAGAGCAAUUUUAACAAGUCAUGACAUAAUUUUGGCUCUCCCAAAUAUGUGUGUCCAGCAAGGAUUGAUGACAUAAAACACAAAAUAAAACAAGCAAAGACUCAUAUCAUACAAGACGCUCCAAGCAAAGCGCAUAUCAUGUGACGAAUAAAAAUAUAGUAUCGAGUAAAAUACCGAUGAUCGUUGGAAGAAAGCGGGGAUGCCACUCGGGGGCAUCCCCAGGUUUAGUUGGUUGAUCAUUUUUGGAUAAUAGCUUGGGAUGCCAGGGCAUCCCCAAGCGGCUCUUCCAUCCUCCCUUCAUCCAUCGUAAGAUAACCCAAAACUUGAAAACUUCAAUCACACAAAACUCAACAAAACCUUCGUCAGAUCCAUUAGUAUAAGAAUAAUAAAUCACUACUAUAAGUGUGGUAUCAAACCAAUUCAUAUUUUGUUUUUGUAUUAUAUCUACUAUAUUCCAACUUUUCUAUGGCAAAAACUCAUCACAGAAAACCAUAGAGCCAUCAAAAUAAGCACACAACACAAAGAAAAUAGAAUCUGUCAAAAAAUGGUGUGUAGCAAUCUGACUAUUUCGAAUACUUCUGUAACUCCAAUUUUUUUGAAACAUUAGGACGACCUGAGCAAUUUGUAUAUUGAUCUACUGCAAUUGGAAUGAGUAUUUUAUCGCUCUCUGGUAAAAAAUGAAAAUUAAUUUUGUGAGCACAAAAGUUUCUAUUUUUCAGUAAGAUCAAACAACUGUCACCUAAGAAGAUCUUAAAGGCUUUACUUGGCACAAACACUAAUUAAAACCAAAAAAAAACACAAUCAUAACAGUAGCAUAAUUGUGCUAACACUCAAAAACAGGAAGCAAAAAGCAAAAAUAAAUUUAUUAAUUGGGUUGCCUCCCAACAAGCGCUAUAGUUUUACGCCUUAGCUAGGCAUAAAGCAAGGAUCUAAGUUUUGUCAUCCUUGUACUUUGGAAAGAAAAGGGAAAACUUUCUAUAAAUGGUAUUUAAUUUUCUAUUUUGUGAAAGUACAUGGCCAUUGAUAGAAGAAGAAAGAUUAAGCAUGUCGCGAAAAUUCUUAUCUAAACUAGCUUUCAUCUCUUUAAUUUUUUUCAUUUUGAUAAAAGCACAUAAGAGUGGUAGAUUCAACAUGUUCUCCUUCAAGGUGCCCAAAUAUAGCUUUCAUUUUCUCAUAAGUACCAACGGCAUCCCCUUCAAGAAAACUGUUUUCAAAUAUGGAAUCCAAAACUUGCUUGAAGGAAGAAGGUAAACCAUCAUAAAAACUUUUCAAGUAUAUCUCUAUCUGGUAUUGGGGCACAUACCUAGCUCGAAUUCUCAACAACCUAUCCCAAGCAUCUUUCAAAGAUUCAUCAAGUAAAUAAUGAAAAACUCUGAAUCAUCUUCAUUAUAGUGGUUAAGAUUUUCCUUAACAACCCCGGUAGAUCCUUCCGUAGCAUCAUUGUUUAUGAGCUUAGAGAGGACAGACGAGCUAUCCAAAAUAUUAAGACUCGGGCGAAACUCUUUGCUCUUUUAAUAUCGGACAUGGCGAACGAAAAAGAAGGGCAAAUAAAACGGCAAAUUUUGGUGAAGUGAGGGAGAGGAAAAUGAGAGGCAAAUGGCAAAUCAUGUAAAUUGCGAGGAGAUGAGAUUUGUGAUUAGGAACCUGGUAUAUGUUGAAGAUCCUCCCCGGCAACGGCGCCAGAAAUUCCUUUUGAUGUUGCUUGAAGCUACGUCGGUAUUUCCCCAAAGAGGAAGGGAUGAUGCAAGACAAUGGAGGUAGGUAUUUCCCUCAGAUAUGAAACCAAGGUUAUCGAACCAGUAGGAGAACCAAGCAACACAACAUAAACAGCCCCUGCACACAGAUAACAAAUCCUCGCAACCCGACGUGUUAAAGGGGUUCUCAAUCCCUUUCAGGUAACGGUGCCAGAAAUUGGUGCAUGACGGUAAAAAGGUUGUAAUAGAUUGGAUAAAUAGAUUGCAAAUAAAAUAAAGUGCACCAAAGUAUUUUUGGGUUUUGGAUUAAUAGAUCUAUAAAUAAAUGCAAAUAAAAGUAGAUCGCAAAGGCAAAUAAUAAGAGAAGAAAGACCCGGGGGCCGUAGGUUUUGCUGGUGGCUUCUCUCGAGAAGAUAGCAAACGUGGGUGAACAAAUUACUGUUGGGCAAUUGAUAGAACUUCAAAUAAUUAUGACGAUAUCCAGGCGAUGAUCAUUAUACAGGCAUCACGUCCAAGAUUAGUAGACCAACUCCUGCCUGCAUCUACUACUAUUACUCCACACAUCGACCGCUAUCCAGCAUACAUAUAGUGUAUUAAGUUCAUGGAGAAAUGGAGUAAUGUAAUAAGAACGAUGACAUGAUGUAGACAAGAUCUAUCUAUGUAGAGAUAGACCCCACCAUUUUAUCCUUAGUAGCAACGGCACAUACGUGUCGUUUCCCUUUCUGUCACUAGGAUCAAGCACCGUAAGAUCGAACCCACUACAAAGCACCUCUUCCCAUUGCAAGAUAAAUAGAUCAAGUUGUCCAAAAAACCAAAUACUAGAGAAGAAAUACGAGGCUAUAAGCAAUCAUGCAUAAAAGAGAUCAAAGAAACUCAAAUACUUUCAUGGAUAUAAAAAGAUAGAUCCGAUCAUAAACUCAAAGUUCAUUGAACCCAACAAACACACCACAAAAGAGUUACAUCAUAUGGAUCUACAAGAGACCAUUGUAUUGAGAAUCAAGAGAGAGAGAGAGAUGAAGCCAUCUAGCUACUAACUACGGACCCGAAGGUCUACAAAGUACUACUCAUGCAUCAUCGGAGAGGCACCAAUGGAGGUGGUGAACCCCAUUUGAGAUGGUAUCUAGAUUUGAUCUGGUGCUUCUGGACUCUGCGGGGGCUAGAUGAAUAUUUCGUCGACUUCCCUAGGGUUUCUGGAAUAUUGGGCUAUUUAUAGAGCAAAGAGGCGGUCCGGGGGCACCCGAGGUGGGCACAACCCACUAGGGCGCGCCUGGGACUCCUAGCGCCCCCUGGUGGGUUGUGCCCCCCUUGGGGCACCCCCAGGCGCAGCCAGGGCCCUUUGUGUUCCUUCUGGCCCAUAAAAAUUCUCCGUAAAGUUUCAGGGCGUUUGGACUCCGUCUGAUAUUGAUUUUCUGUGAUGUAAAAAACAUGGAAAAAAACAACAACUGGCACUUGGCACUAUAUCAAUGGGUUAGUACCAAAAAAUGAUAUAAAAUUGUUAUAAAACAUCCAAGAUUGAUAAUAUAAUAGCAUGGAACAAUCAAAAAUUAUAGAUACGUUGGAGACGUAUCAACAAGUAGCGGUCUUCCCGACGGCAACCUUUACAAAAAAGUCGACACUUUACAAGGGGAGGCCAAUGGCAACCUUUACAAAAGUCGACACUUUGCUCAAUUGCACUAAGUAGCCGCACUUCCGGCGCACCUUGCCGUUAAGCUGCGCUCUCUUGUAACUUGACUUUCACAUAUAAUCCACCAAAGUAGGAGUAGGGUUUUAUGCCUCUCGGCGGAUCGAUCUAGGUAAACUCUGCGUUUGCACCGCUGGAUCUGCUCUUUGUGCAUUGUGAUUUCCACAACUGAACUGCAAAGGGAUCGUGUUGAUCCCAAAGGUUGUCGGACGUCCACACCGAUAAGAAGAAAGUAGCAUGCCAUUUUUCAGUGAAGAUGGAUAUUGGGCCCCUAAUUGUGUGAAUACGUUGCUGGUCCUCCCAUGCCUCCGGUGUUUCUUUUGUCUUCCCAUACACGCCCAAGAAGCCAACCAGGGUCACGCAAAGAUUCUUCGUCACGUGCAUCACGUCGAUUUCAGAGCGGAGCUCUAGGUCUUUCCAAUAGGAUAGGUCCCAAAAUAUAGAUUUCUUCUUCCACAUGGGUGCGUGUCCGUCAGCGUCAUUCAGAACAGAUUGUCUUCCAGGACCCUUUCCAAAGAUUACCUUUAAAUCCUUGACCAUAUCAUGUACAUCAUCACCAGUACGGUGGCGAGGCUUCGUCCGGUGAUCUGCCUCACCUUUGAAAUGCUUGCCUUUCUUUCUUACAGGAUGCCUGCUCGGAAGAAAUCGACAAUGUCCCAGGUACACAUUCUUCUUACCACUAGUACAAAACAGGGCUUUGGUCACAGCUCAAUAUACACAUUAGUCCCGGUUCGAGCGGCUAAAGGCAUUAGUCCCGGUUCAAAUGAAACCUUUAGUCCCGGUUUGAGACACGAACCGGGACUAAAGGGCAUCACCCUUUAGUCCCGGUUCGUGUCUCAAACCGGGACUAAAGGGGUUCGUGUCUCAAACUCUACCCCCCAGCGUGUAUCACCAUUUUAGUUUUGAAAAAAACAAAAGAAAAUGAUAAAAACUUCAAAAAAUGAAAUCUUUCAAGAUGUAGUUAUAUUACUACAUCUACUAGUUAGGAAAAUUAAAAAAUAAAUUUGGACAUGUUUUGCAAAAAAAGUGUUAUGAAAAAGUAAAAUGGCUAUAACUUUUGCAUACGAUGUCGGAAAAAACGUAUAAUAUAUCAAAAUGUUCAACACGAAUUUCAGUUUUUUAGAAUUUUGGUUAAAUCUGGUCAAACUACUUAUUCAAGAAGUAUUAGUGUUACUAAAUAAUUAUUCAAGAAUAUUAGUGUUACUAAAUAAUUAUUUCAGUUUUUUUGAAUUUUGGUCAAAUCUGAUCAAACUAUGGUCAAACUGUGGUCAAACAAUGGUCAAACUACUUAUUCAAGAAAUAUUAGUGUUACUGAAUAAUUAUUGUUUUUAGAAUAAAUAGUUUCAAACUCAAACAGUGAAAUGUGUGACUUUAUGCUCAAGCUAAACUCAUGAGGGUUAAUAGGAUUGACAUCUUACUAUUGUUAGGAAAAUAAGAAGUGCGUACCUGGAAACGAGGGGGAAUAGAACCCGGAAGUUAAGCGUGCUCAGGCUGCGCCACGUGGAGAACCUUUAGUCCCGGUUCUUAGGGUGGGCCUUUAGUCCCGACCCUUUAGUCCCGGUUCCAGAACCGGGACUAAAGGCCCUCUAGAACCGGGACAAAUGGGCCUUUUUCUACUAGUGUACAAUUAUCCAAAUAUAUACCAUCGGUAUCAUCCAAACAGUGCGUGCAUGUGCGAUAUCCUUUAUUUGUCUUUCCUGAAAGGAUACUGAGAGCAGGCCAAUCAUUGAUGGGCACAAACAGCAACGCAUGUAGGUCAAAUUCUUCCUGAUCGAGCUCAUCCAACGCACGUACAACUUUUUCAUUCCACAGAUGUAAGAGUUCUUCAACUAAUGGCCUUAGGUACACAUCAAUGUCGUUGCCGGGUUGCUUAGGGCCUUGGAUGAGCAUUGGCAACAUAAUGAACUUCCGCUUUAUGCACAACCAAGGAGGAAGGUUAUACAUACAUAGAGUCACAUGCCAGGUGCUAUGAUUUUUGCUCUUCUCCCCAAAAGGAUUAAUGCCAUCUGCACUUAGACUAAACCAUACGUUCCUUGCGUCACCUACAAAGUCCCCCCACUUCCUCUCGAUUUUUCUCCACUGCGACCCGUCAGCGGGUACUCUCAACUUCCCGUUUUUCUUACGGUCUUCUCUGUGCCCUCGCAUCAACUUGGCAUGCUCUUUGUUUUGGAACAAACAUUUCAACCAUGGUAUUAUAGGAGCAUACCACAUCACCUUGGCAGGAAUCUUCUUCCUGGGGCGCUCGCCCUCGACAUCACCAGCGUCAUCGCGGCUGAUCUUAUAGCGCAAUGCACCGCAUACCGGGCACGCGUUCAAAUCCUCGUACUCACCACGGUAAAGCAUGCAGUCAUUAGGGCAUGCAUGUAUCUACUGCACCUCUAAUCCUAGAGGGCAGACAACCUUCUUUGCUUCGUACGUACUCUCGGGCAAUUCGUUGUUCUUUGGAAGCAUCUUCUUUAACAUUAUCAGCAACUUUCGAAAUCCCUUGUCAGAUACACCGUUCUCUGCCUUCCAUUGCAGCAAUUCCAGUGUGGUGCCUGGCUUUUUCUUGCCAGCUUCGCAAUUCGGGUACAACAAUUUCUUGUGAUCCUCUAACAUGCGCUGCAAUUUCUUCUUCUCCUUUUCACUUGCGCAGUUUCUCUUUGCAUCGGCAAUGGCCCGACCUAGAUCAUUAGUGUGCUCAUCUGAUGCGUCUUCUUCAGCUUCUUCUCGCAUUGCCGGCUCGGCUUCUUCCCCUAUUGUUGUACCAUCGUAUUCAGGGAACCCAUGGCCAGGAUAGCUGUUGUCGUCCUAUUCUUCUUCAUUGUCUUCCAUCAUAACCCCUCUUUCUCCAUGCUUGGUACAAACACUAUAGUGGGGCACGAAACCGGACUCAAACAGGUGCUAGUGCAUGGUUUUUGACUUAGAGUAAUUCCGAUCAUUUUUACAGCCAGCACAUGGACAAGACAUAAAAGCAUUUGCCCGCUUGUUUGCCUCGGCCGAAGCGGAAAAGUACGCACAUCAUUAACGAACUGGGAAGAACAUCGGUCAUCGUACAUCCAUUGCUGGCUCAUCUUCAUUACACAGCACCGAAAAGACCAAAUUAAUACAAGUUCAUACACACUUAUUCUCAUAAAACAACAUACAAACUCUCUAGCUAAAGCAUUUAAAUGCAACAACAAAUGCGAUCAAGAUCGCAAUUAAGGUAACAAUUGAUCCAACAACAUAAUGAUACAAAGCCUCACAAUCAAUGACAUAUUUUCUAAUCUUUCUAAUUUUCAAGCGCAUUUUCUCCAUCUUGAUUUUGUGAUCAUCGACGACAUCGGCAACAUGCAACUCCAAUUUCAUCUUCUCCUCCUCAAUUCUUUCCAUUUUUUCUUUCAAAUACUUGUUUUCAUUUUCAACUAAAUUUAACCUCUCGACAAUAGGGUCGGUUGGAAUUUCCGGUUCACAUACCUCCUAGAUAUAAAUAUCUAUGUCAACUUGAUGGGCAUAAUUUUCCAUAAACACGAAAUGUAACAAAUAGUUAUAAAAGAGAAUAUACCACAUCCGAAUCAUAAACCGGACGAGGGCCGACAGGGACGGAUAUCAAAACCAUGACACUAUAUAUAACAAAUAACGUACAUGCAAGAUAAUUAUACAAGUAAAUAUAUAUCUAAAUCACAUAAACAUGAUUAUAUAUAUAUAUAUAUAUAUAUAUAUAUAUAUAUAUAUAUAUAUAUAUAUAUAUAUAUAUAAGAUAAGAACAAGAGGCUCACCACAAGGUGGUGCCGGCGACGGGAUGGUGCGGGCGAUCGACGGUAGUUAGGACGGAGAUGGGAAGGCACUAAGUAAACCACACCCACAUAUGCAAACUAGGAGUUAAUUUGAGCUCAAAUUGUAUAUAAAUCAAAUAAACUACCACAUAUAAUUACUCCCAAACUAAAACCCACAAAUCACUAUACUUAUAGAGCAUUGGAAGAGCUAAUCUAGCAAUGAGAGAUGAAAGGACAAAGUUGCUAACCUUUGUGAUCACUUGGAUGGAUGGGGGGCCUUCAAAUCUUGACAAAUCUUGGGAAAAAUGAAGGAUGAGCUCGAGAGGAGAGGAAGAAAACAGAGAGGAGAGGAAAGGGGAAGAACAAAGAGCUCAGGCUCGACGAAGGGUUUAUAUAGGAUAAUCUUUAGUCCCGGUUGGUUAUUCGAACCGGGACUAAAGGAGCAUCUCUAUUCCCGGUUCGUGGCACGAACCGGGACUAAAGAUGUUGGUGGGGCCGCAGCCUGACACCAGCCUGCCACCACCUCUUUAGUCCCGGUUCGUGGCACGAAAAGAUGCUAAAGGUUCGCCAUGAACCGUGACUAAUGAGAGCCGCCUGCCUAGCCGUUGGAACCAACACUAAUGGUCACAUUAGUGCCGGUUCAAUUACAAACCGGGGCUAAUGAGCUGAACAUUAGGCCCUUUUUCUACGAGUGUAUGUAAAAUAUUUUAUAUAUUUGAUCUACGGGUGUCAAGGCCUUUAGAACAAUAUCAAUCUUGGACAUUUCAAAUGCGUUUAAUUUUCAUCAUUUUAAUUAACUUAUUUGGCUCAAUAUAUUUUAUGUGACACUGCUUAUUUCACUGUUUGAAACUGGUAUUUGUGAAAUACAACCAUUUUCAGUGUUUGAAAUUGAUAUGUGUAAAAUCUAUAUUUUGUGAAUGAGAGUAAUGUGUUGUUGGAAACUAGUGAAAUAUAUCUUUUGUAAAUGAGUGAAAUCGUUUACUAUUAUUAGUGGAACUCGAAAAACAAGUGAAAAUAUUUGUUUGAAAUGAGUGAAAUAUGUUUUUAGAAAUGCGUGAAAUUUGUCAUUCUGUAUAAUUAAAUCAUACAUUGAAAUGAGUGAAAUAUAUCUUUUGUAAAUGAGUGUAAUGUCUUUCCUUUUUUUUUUUGCAAUCUAUUUUUUUGCAUUGAGUUUAAUCAAUUUUGAAAUAUGUUUUCUUAACUGAGUGAAAUAUGUUUUCUCAGCGAAGUGAAAUUAUUUUUCUAAAAUGAGUGACAUCGGUUCCUUCAAAUGAGUGAAAUUGGUAUUUUGAACAUAAAGAAAUGAGUUUUUUUAAAUGGUUGAAAUCAGCUUGCUGAAAUGAACGAAACUAUUUUUAACGACUAAAAUCUAUGUUUUCUCAACUUAGUGAAAUAUGUUUUCUCAACUGAGUGAAAUUAUUUUUCUGAAAUGAGUGACACCAGUUUCUUCAGAUGAGUGAAAUUGUUUUUUUGAACAUAAAGAAAUGAGGUUUUUUUAAUGAUUGAAAUCGUCUUUCUGAAAUGAGUGAAACAAGUUUUUGAAAUGACUAUAAUAUGUGUUUUCUAAUGUGCGAAAUAGGAAUUUUACAAUGAGUGAAAUCCAAUUUUUAAAUGAGUGAUUUUUUUGUAUAUGAAACUGAUUGAAACAGUAAAAUUCAAACUAGCUAAAAUGUAUCCAAAACCGGUCUUGUUUUAAAGGUCUUAUAAUUCUCAAUCAAAUAUACAAAAAUCACAAAUUAAAAUUUGGUUCGUAAGUUAUUAACCAUUCAGAAUAUGACAAGGAAAUAAAAUGCGGCUAUUGUGUGGGGAGAGAGAACGCAUGCGCCGUCCUUUUCUUCUCACUCUCUCUCUCAUAGUUAAAACUGCCACAAUUCUUACAUGCAGAACUCUAUUUCUUUCUCCACUGUUCGUAUUGCAUAGCAAUUUUUUUUACUUUAUGCACAAAAAGUUGGCACGAAUCUCAGAGGAAGCAAGUGCACAGUCUCCCGGUUCCGUUAGGAAUAUUUGGCUGGAAAAGCUCUUAUGGAGUCAUCGCUGCUGUCAUGGCGCGGCCCACGGGUGCACCCGUGGAGUCAUCGCUUUUAGGGAUGUAGCCAUGUCGACGAAUCUCGUUAACAAAUUUUUAUGUCGUCCUUAUGUGAUUGCUUGAUACUCAGAUGAUUGACUAUGCGUCUCGGAUUUAUUCUAGCUGCUGCUGGCUCUGUUAGAAAAUCUAUUUCGCUGGAAACAUUCUCAUGGAGUGAUCGCUGUCGUGGCACCGCACGCAGAUCAUCAUCACUUCUCCAUCAGGGUGACAAACAAGCGUAGUGGCGCCCCACGGGAACACCUAUGCAUCGCCUGACCUGUGAUCCAUAUGCGAUAUCUAGAGAAUCAGCUAAAGAGGAAAAUAAUCCAGGCGGGCCGAUCGAACAGAGGCGGAGAAGGGAAGAGGCCACCUCUGGCCCCGAUUCGCGGCUGUCGAUCUUGAUGCAUGCAUGGUCCUUUCGUUUCACGUCGACGAGGGAGGAUAGAUAGCACGGCCGGUGGCAGCUCGCGGUACGAUCGGUCGGCGUCGAACCGGGGGCCGCGGGCUGUCGCGUUGCUGGCCCAGGGCAAGGAUCGAAUAGCACGCGCACGUACGUCCAGUCCGAUCCAUCGAUCGAUCAGUCGAUACAUGGACGCAUUAUCCUCUCAUCAUCCAUAUCCGUUUGCGUGAUAACAAGUGACGGUGCGUAGCUCCACAGUAUCCAAACUGCCGUGUGGCUCAGGUCAGGUCCAAAUGAGAUCGAUUUGUUGCGCAUGAACGACUGCGAUCCCUUGGGCUGGGCAAUGCGAUCUCUUUUUCUCGCACAAAAAGGUGACGGUGCGUGGCGUAGCUUAGCGUAGCGUAGCUGCCGGGCGAUGGUGCGUGCGGUGCGGUGCGGCGGCCGGGCAGUGUCGGGCGGAGGAGCGUGCGGGUACGGCCGACGUGACGCCACGAGGCCCGCUCAACGUGCUCGUGUUUGUGUCGACAUGGUUUACCAAUGUGACGACACCUUUCCGUGCCAUGCAGCCGCUGCUGCCUGCUGGAGUGGAGGUUUCUUUUUUUCAGCGGAAAAAUGAGCGAUCGCUUUUCGUUGAACCCUAGCUAGCUACGAAACGCUGGCGCAAAGGGACGCGGCGGCCCAACGGCGUGUCAAAAGGGACGGAAAAGGUCCGCAACAAGCUUCUAGCUAUAGUAGCUGCCAUGAUCGACCCGGUGGUGAAUAGGAUCCGAGUCAUCGCUCUCGUCCUUUUCCUGGGCCUGGAAGUUAGCGGCAGCAUGUACGUAGCACUGCCGUCGGGUGGCUCAUCGAAAGGAUCGGCAAACAUGGCAUCCUGCUGCGUCCAUGGGCGCACUGCUCGACCGUUCCCAGCAGAUGAGAUUACAGAGGCUCCAACUGAGCCAGAAUAUUCGUGAGGAUAAUGCUCCUCCCAAGUUCCAACCUCGCCUCCCCUUUAUCUGACAUCCUACGGAGGCCGCACGUACACGCGCCCACCUAUUCGAAUCGCCUUUCAGUCCUCGUUCUUUUCUUCUCACAUACGAAUUGGCGAUUUGCGAAGUUUUUUUUAGGAUCGAAUUGUGAAGUUUUUGGAUGGACAAGUGUUCGCUACUCUCUAAAUUUUCCAGUUCAGAAUUAACAUCGAAAUAAACUAAGUGGUGAGAACGUUAAAGCACCAGAAUUGCUAGCUCCAAGGUCUCCGUGACCGUAAUGAUUCGGUAAACGAGUUAACCACUGCAAUGAUGAUCCGGUUCCAAUAAACAAACGUCUGAACUGGAAAGCAUCAAGCCAAGGGCCAAAAGAGCAGCUACAAAAGUUGGCGGAUAGCAAUAGGCCAGGCAGCUACUGCUACUACUACUAUCAUUAUGUUUCCAAGCAGUGCAGUGCAGUGCAGCACGGCAUCUCUGACUCCGAACUAAUCAGGGAGUAAACAUUUUCUCCCUGGCCAUGAUGGCCUCGGCCUCGGUGGGCCGGGUACGGCAACAUGGAAGGACGGCGGAGACCGCCGGGGAGGAGGAGCUGCCAUAUGCUCCGGGAUAUUCUCCGCGGCAAAGGGAGAAAAAUGACGCUCGCUCGUCGGUGGAGGCGGCAAUGAUGAUGCCCGCCGGGUAGUCACAACAAGCAAGCUGCUGCUGCUGCUGCUGUUCAUACUCCGGAUCUGGGUUCUGACUAGGCCCCCACUCGCUCUUCCCUUGAAAAAGUCCAGAUAGCUCGUCGACUUUCUACUGUGGACUCUCAAGUUUCUUAGGAUGCGCCGCUUCCACUAGCAACAGGAACAAGGUAAACCAUGUCCGCCAACCUUAUCCCUACGGAACUGGUACGAAGCUGACAGGACGCUGCUGCUCCGGCGACAAGGAAACAACCGCCUCCACCCAAACCCCAUGCAUGCCGCCGCCACCAGCCCAUCUGCUAUCUCCCCGUCCACCCAAACCCUAGCUAGAAGGCUAGAACUGGUUCGCUUUCACGUACGCCUCCUCUUCGGUUCGUGUUCCAGGACCGAAGGAUGCACACGAAGAACACAGGUCAAGCAUAAGGAACAAAACGAAUUAGCAUUUCCCAAUCCGACCAGCUCCAUGCAUGAAACGGAAUGAAGUUCCAGAACGCACACGGAUUGACAUGACAUGAAGAGCCUCUAGGCUGGCUAGCCAUUAGCACUUCUUCGUUCCGAUCUGCUAAAUGCUAUUGCAUGAAGCGAUGAAUAAUUCCAGAACGCACCUGGGUUGAUAUUUGACAAGGCUAGGAGGAACUUGUAUGAUGGCUAGCUAUGGUAGUGGGAGUAUGUAGGGUGAGAAUAUGGUGACGAGGACGCAGGGAGGAAGAGCACAAACUUUGUUUUGGUGUCACCCACCCCCCUACGGGCUCGACGUCGAGGCGCCGCUUCCGGCCUAGCCGCGAUAAAACGCAAAGCGCUCCCUUUUGGCGAGUGCCAUGGCCCCGCGUGACCUGACCCCCAUAGUAUCAUCUUGGCAUUGGCAUUCGCUGUUGGAUUUGGACCUCUCCAUUUGCCUCUCUUUCCCCCCAAUAUACCUUUCUUUCCUUUUUCUUCCCACUUUCUCCAUUUCAAGAUAUUAAUUAAAAAACAAGGAUUUCUUCAACUCUUUACGAUUUAGUGGAAACCUUUUCACCUUUUUAAAGAAGAAAUAAGGAUUGAGUUGAAACUCAUACCAGGGACGAUCCAACCCGGGAGAAAGAGGAAUCGGCGUGCCAUUUCGCCAUUUCUUUACCGCUUUGUCGCGACGAAUAGGAUAUCGGGGGACACCUUUGUAAAGGGGCAACUACUAGCUAGCUUUAGCCGGCUGAUGCUUGAUUAGAUUUUUGUAGAUAAUGGGUUCUCCAUGAGCUAAGCACAACUUAUAUGAUUGAUUGAUCUCGGCUGCAAAGUUGCAACAGAUACGAUAUGUUUCGUGCGCAAGUACGGCUCGAGUUGACAUAUGGUGCUUAGCACAAAACAGUGGCAUGUGAGCUCGGCAUACGUGCGGUUCAAGUGGUUCAUCUUGAUCCGAUCGAUCGAUAUUAGUGGCCAGGCUGCCACCCAUUUUAGCAGAGACGUAGUGCAGCAGCUGCAACAAGUUAGGCUAGAAGACAACUGCAGGCCUGCAGCACGCGUGUGGUGGCAAGAAACAAGUAGUACAGGCGCCAAACGGGUACUACAAGUUUGCAGUACAAAGUACGAACAGAUAGGGGUGCUAGCCGCUAGUACAAGUGGAUUUUGCCUCAGUGUGCGCACCUGUAGACCAUCAGAUCCUCAUUCAAUGGCUUGGAUUCCAUGCCCUCUGACUUCAUCGUCACCAUCCCCCUCUCCUUCCCCGAUUCCGGUUAUGGCGGUUUCUGGCUGCCACGGUUGUGGGAUCCGGCUAUCCUAGAAAGACAUGUUCUCCGGUUGCGUGAUUCCGGCCCUGACGUUGUUAUCUUCAUCCUAUAGCAUGUUUUUUUUGUCGUCACCUCCUCCUGCUCACCACCAACGGGUUGGAAAAACAAAGUUCAGGCAUUUUCAGGCAAACUUUCCGUCAAUUUGACCUAGAGACGUUGUUUUGAAAUCCAAUUGCUGGCCAAUCAUCUUCAUCCUAUAGCAAACACGUGCGAGCUUCCUCUCUUUUGACAAUAGGCCUCAUCUCCCCCACAUCUCCCCGCACCGGAACAUACACAUAAGGGCAUCUCUAGGGGAAGUCAUUAAAUAUGGUUACCAAAUGUCCGGCAAUAUUCACCGAAUGUUCGCUCAUUGUCCAAUGAAGAGAGGAGAGAGCAACAAGAAAGAGGGACAAGUGAGUUUAUGGUGGGGUCCGAGGCGGAGUUUCGUAGUGUGUCGAUGGAUGUCCGGACUCCCCACCCCACCCCCUAGUUUGAAGACGGCUUGUGUGAUUUAAGACGUCCGAACCACUUUGCAGAUAUUCAGUGACCGUUGUUUGAUGACUUGAAAUGUCGAGACGUCCAGUCGAACUCCAAGGAAAGAUUUGAUGAUGCACGGUUGAGAUGCCCUGAACCAAUCAAGCAUCCCGCUCGAUCAUGACAAGGCCAUGUUAGGGACACGAUGGCCGGCUGCGUCGUCCCGUCCCGGCCUCGGGGGCUGCUCUCCUAUGCACUCCCAAAGUCGACCGGCGAUACAACAAAUUAUAGGUGUAUGAGAAAUAGCAUGCCGCAAAAACAAAAGGAGACCAGGAAUAUGAAUGUAGUGAGAAAAUUCGUACCUUCACGAAAUGGAUGACAGAAACCCAUUGUUAACAAGCAGAUUCUGCUAUUUAAGAGACUGUAGUACGUGUAGUUUUUUGUAAGAAAAGUACUACGUGCCCACUAAAAGUAUAUAACCUCCAUUUCCAAAUACAGGCGACGGGACCUUGGUUUGAUAAAGGGCGGCGCAUACAGUCCGUUGCAUAAAUUCUACGCGACGUGUCGACGACGCGCUAGGCUCCCCUAUUUUUGUUUUUAGUCUGUGUGCUCGCGUUUGAAGACCACACAAUCGAUCAAUGCACCCCAUGUAAUCCUAUACUCGUUUUCACUGUGUACUUUUCGCUCGUUUUCACUGUGUACUGUGUACGUUUCAACAUGGACAAGCAACCGAAAGUUCACUGUGUGCGUUUCAACAUGCACUUAACCAGCACUUGCAGUCUAGAACAAUCACGUUAAAAGUUUCCCCGGGGCCGGCCAGGAAGCUCCGUCACUUCGCACAAACUUUUACUUACGUGGUGAUCAAACUCGAUCAGGAUGGGAGACCGGUUAAUGCUGGAUGACUCACGGUGAAACUUCCGAGAGAGACGGUCUCCCAGAAUGACGAGGACGGGCGAGUAUUUUAUACCGCUCACCCAACGGAAGGCGCCGAAAUUUCAAGUGGAAAUCGAAUUGGGGAGCAGCCAAGCAAGCAUCAUGCAUUAACUCAAAAGAAAAAAAGCAAGCAUCAUGCAUUUAUUGAAUGAAGAUGCAAGCCAAAAUUCCAUUCGCUUUCGCCAGAUCUCAACUCAACGCACGCCGCCGGCGCGCUCACGCCAUGCGCGCCGCUCACCUCACCUCACCAAGAAACGCAAACUACUACAGAGCUCUAUCUUCUCUGCUACUACGGAUUGAGUAGGCGUAGAUUCUACAUACAGAUCGCGCAGGGGGAAUCCUAGAGGCCAAAAUUGGUCCCGCGGUUACACGGGCGGGC